UCUGUCAUCAAUCUUUUCAUAAUUCGCCAUUCUUUAACUUUAUUUUUUUUUCUACAUUGAAUAAUUAGUCUCUCUCACUGGUUAAGACUAGUGCAAUUAAGGUAAAGUAGAGAGGCAUAAUAAUAUUCUUACUAGAAGAUAAAUAUGAUAAAGAGGAAGAAUAAUGCCAAUAGGGGGACCAUUUUUCUAAUGUGACACGUUUCUGCUGAUCUGUGCUCCGUGUCUUUUCUUCUUUUAUCUUUAGUAAAGUGAAAGAACCCAGUUUGUUAGCCAUUAUUGUCUCGACUUUAAGAUCAAUAUAAGCAAAGUGUGACAGAACAAUGAAGCUGCCAUUCUUGGUUUCUCUUCUCUGAACUUCAACGUUUGCGGCACACAGAAUGUGGAAGAAAAAGAGAAAGAAGAAGAUGAUGAUGAUGAUGAUGGCGACGAUGACAGCAAUGACGACAAGAAAAGAAUGUCAUGUGCUGAAUAAUAUUAUCCUCUGCUUCCUUUCCGGGACGUAAGGGGCUGAAAAGGCAAGUCAUAUAGGCAAAGGGAAGGCAACGCCUUUCUUCCGGGUUUGUUUCAUCUUUUGUUCUUUGGUGUAAGCCUAUUCUUGCACCAUAUUAUCACUGUAAUACCUUGUUUCAGACACUCUAAAAGGAGAUACUGUUAAGAGUUUAGCCGUUUCUCAAUGGCAAAAAUGGCUACCUAAUUGCUAUUGUAUGUAACUAUGUUCUGCUCAAUUUUUUUUUAUUCUACUUGUCUGUUUUCCUCCACUUGCAAAGAAAUGAAAAUAUGAUGAUAAUGAUAAAAACAUAGUGACACUUUUGUCCCUGUAAUAUGUCUGCCUCCCAGGAUUUUCUGACCUGAUCAAUGACACUUAUCGGAAGAUAUGGUUAGCGCACACAACAAAAUGACAGUGAUCCUGAAACUUGAAACCCUCCUAGUACUACUCUUGGUAAUAUGGUUGGCGCACACAACAAAAUGGCAGCGAUCCUGAAACUUGAAACCCUCCUGCGCCUGCCCAAAUGAUGAUACGCCAUGCUUGUAAUGUUUACACGCAGGUUGCGUAUAGUUCUAAUAUGAUGAUUCUGUUGUCCAGGUUAUUAAUAUUGAUGCAGAUAAACCAGAAAAACAAAGGGCAUGUAAAUAUUAAUAACUGGAAGUAUCAAACCUAACACAUGCCAAAGAAGGUUUCUGCAAAAUCAUAAGAAAAAGUUCCAUC